UCAGCGAGCUCCCGAAGAAACCAGGGCGGCGGGGAGAGCGAGACCCGCGCCUCGGGCUCCAGGGAGGGAAAGAAAGCUACAGAAAACCGGAGCGGGGCUGCACUUCACGCUGAAGUUUCCCUUUUGAAUCGUCUGGAGUUAUGGCCCCUAAAACCAAGCAGAUGACUUCAUCUGGUGUUCAACCAAAAGAAAAUGGUCUGUUCCAAGACUGAAGGAAAAAUUGGCAGUGUUGAACUUAUUAAGAAGCAGUAUGACUGCAGAUUCUACUUUAUGGACAAUAUAAGGCAUUUUCAAGAGGAAAGUUGAAUAUAUGGAAUUUUCUUCUUAAAUAGUGACUUGAAUACUUAACCACCACAGAAGAUGCAACUCCAUGACAAUCUGGCAACAGAGAAUUCUAGUCAGAAAUCAAGCUGGGAAUCUCUACCAUCAAGAAAGCUAAAGAUAAGUGCUGUACACAAGAUGUCAACUGGGUCAACAUCCUAAGUACCUGAGAAAUGCAAGGAGCAGCCCAGCAUGUCAUCUCAGCACACCGGAGGGGAAUAAAGCCCCAAAUGCAUUUCCAGUAUAAUAAGAGAAAGGUCUCAAGCAAAGCAAAAUGGAAACAACACUGGAACAGAUGCAGAAGUCUAAUAAGAACGUCUUCUCGGACAAAGCUAUUUUAAUGAAAGCGACAUUCUGUGCAACCUCCCUGAUUCCUCCUCGUGUUCAACCACCCAAAUUAGAUUCACUUCAUUGGCUGUUUUCAUCAGGUUUCACAACACUGAGGACUAUCCAAAAGAAAUAAAAGUGGGCUCCACACCCAAUGUGGGGCUUGAACUCACAAGACCCUGAGAUCAAGAGUCACUACUGACUGAGCCAGCCAGGUGCCCCCUCUGGGCCUUUUCUGAAGCAGUCUCUGAACCUCACUGAACCCAAUUCCAAACACAGGAGAGAGUUAUCUACUUGCUAAGCCUAAAAUGUUGAUGUGGAACAAGAACAAAUUUACAUUACCUUUUUGGAUUCACUGGAAACAGUUUUAGCCAACAAGCUCUGACAGAGACAUAAUCUUAAUGUACCUGAACUCUAGAAAGCCAUGGUGAAAGCCAGGAAUUUGGACUGCAUUGUAAAAAGUGACUGCACCAGUUUGAAUUUCUACCACCAGUGCAAGAGGUUUCCCCUGAAGAAAAUGAUUCAAAGUCCUAUAAGAAAUAAGAAAGGAAAAAGCUAGUACGAGGCUGACUGGGUCUAGCCUAAUCUAAAGGAAGACUCCAAAGUCACACAACAAAUGGUGAAGAUACAGGAAAGGGUGAAGAAUCAAGGCUCAAAAAUGCACCCUACCACAGGGUCCAGGGAUAUUACCAAAGAUACGAAAACUGAAGCUGAGAAUAAUCAAGAAUGCAACCUAAAUCCCAUAGCCACUCAGUGGUAAACCUGGAAUUUCUUUCUAAGCAUAUAAUACAAGUAAAGUGCCUACCAAAUUGCCUUGUGCACAGUAAAUAUUAGUAAUUUUUAACCAUUUUUAAUAUUGUUAUUUCUAUAACUUAAGUUUUAUAUAACUGUUGUCUGAAAGACAUUAAAAAUUUUUAAUAUCAUUUCUAAGUGGACAUAAAAGAGAUAUAAAAAUCUAUUAUGAUCUAGUUGUUCAGAUAUCUUAAUUUUUCCCCAAAGUAUAUUUCAGCAGAGAAUGUAAGGACAAAGAGAAGAUUUGUAAA